AGGAGGAACAGCCCCAGUGGCGGGGCAGCUCUGGAAACCUGGAUUCAGCUCCGGCAGGAACUCCGUCUGCAGCGCCUGGAGGCUCCGGGGCGGG
rnacentral:pre_miRNA from 1 species